rnacentral:rRNA from 1 species
GGGGAAUUGUUCGCAAUGGGCGCAAGCCUGACGACGCAACGCCGCGUGGAGGACGAAGAUCUUCGGGUCGUAAACUCCUGUCGAGCGGGACGAACACCCAUCCGGUGAAUAUCCGGAAGGGCUGACGGUACCGCUAAAGGAAGCCCCGGCUAACUUCGUGCCAGCAGCCGCGGUAAUACGAAGGGGGCGAGCGUUGUUCGGAAUUACUGGGCGUAAAGGGCGCGUAGGCGGCGACCCAAGUCAGAUGUGAAAGUCCUGGGCUUAACCUGGGGACUGCAUUUGAUACUGGGUUGCUUGAAUUCGGGAGAGGAUAGCGGAAUUCCCAGUGUAGAGGUGAAAUUCGUAGAUAUUGGGAAGAACACCGGUGGCGAAGGCGGCUAUCUGGACCGACAUUGACGCUGAGGCGCGAAAGCGUGGGGAGCAAA